GAUGAACGCUGGCGGCGUGCCUAAUACAUGCAAGUCGAGCGAACAGACGAGGAGCUUGCUCCUCUGACGUUAGCGGCGGACGGGUGAGUAACACGUGGAUAACCUACCUAUAAGACUGGGAUAACUUCGGGAAACCGGAGCUAAUACCGGAUAAUAUAUUGAACCGCAUGGUUCAAUAGUGAAAGACGGUUUUGCUGUCACUUAUAGAUGGAUCCGCGCCGCAUUAGCUAGUUGGUAAGGUAACGGCUUACCAAGGCAACGAUGCGUAGCCGACCUGAGAGGGUGAUCGGCCACACUGGAACUGAGACACGGUCCAGACUCCUACGGGAGGCAGCAGUAGGGAAGCUUCCGCAACGGGCGAAAGCCUGACGGAGCAACGCCGCGUGAGGGAUGAAGGUCUUCGGAUCGUAAAACUCUGUUAUUAGGGAAGAACAAAUGUGUAAGUAACUAUGCACGUCUUGACGGUACCUAAUCAGAAAGCCACGGCUAACUACGUG
rnacentral:rRNA from 1 species